rnacentral:rRNA from 1 species
UACGUAGGGGGCGAGCGUUUGUCCGGAAUCAUUGGGCGUAAAGCGCGCGUAGGUGGCUUUGUAAGUCCGUUGUGAAAGUCAAAGGCUCAACCUUUGAAUGCCGAUGGAUACUGCGGAGCUAGAGUACGGAAGAGGCGAGUGGAAUUCCUGGUGUAGCGGUGGAAUGCGCAGAUAUCAGGAGGAACACCAAUAGCGAAGGCAGCUCGCUGGGACGUUACUGACACUAAGGCGCGAAAGCGUGGGGAGCGAACAGG